UUGCCUGUUUCGAUACUCUUUAAUUUCUCACAUUAAUGAAGAAGGUAGGAUACAGUUGUAUGACUUUAAAUAGGAAGAUGAUAAGAAGUUUCCCUUAAAGACUAGGAAUAGUGAAAAAGGUGAAGUCUUGCUCUUUAUUAAGGACCAGAGCUGCCCAAUUAUUUGAGUUAUCUCACCAUAUAUCCAAAGCUGAGAAUUUGCUUGUUAGUCUUUAGCAAUAUUCUUCAAAAUGUCUAACCUUCAUCUUCCAAAAUUUGCAAGUAUGAUGUCUUUUUGAGUUUUAGAGGUGAAGAUACACGUAUAACCUUUAUAAGUCAUCUAAGACGAUGAGUGGUUGGAAACGGGAAAAUCAAUUUCUGAGGAACUCUUGUAAACUAUAGAAGAGUCUAGAAUUGCUGUUGUGAUAUUUUUAAAAAGCUAUGCAUCCUCAAGAUGGUGCUUCGAGGAGCUUGCACACAUCAUAAAGUGCAAAAAUGAAUUGGAGCAGAUUGUGAUUCCAGUCUUGUAUGAUGUGAGUCCAUCAGUUGUGCGCCAUCAAUAUCCCCCUUUCGCUAAGUCAUUUUCCCUACAUGAGGAAAAUUGCAAAGAUGAUUUGGAGAAGGUUCAAAGAUGGAGGGAUGCAUUUGCGGAGGCAGGGAAAAUAUCAGGGUUGAUGAUUCUGCUUGCUAGGACAUCUCGUACCAGCUAUUGGUGAGCCCCAGUCUUCUGGGGCAUUAUCCCUCUUUUUAGUCUUUAUAGUAUUCCAAUUAAUAAGGUAUGUCGGGUGCCUUGUCCUGGUAAACAGUUAGCAUUUUCAGUAUUCUUUAGAGGCUUCAUAGACUAUACUUGCAGUCAGUCAGAUGUUUAGUAGGCUUUUGUGUUAGCCUUGUCGGCUACUUAUUCAGACUUUCAGGCUUAUUCAGUAUUUCCGCUUUUAUGAUAUUUUAGUUAGACUAUAAGUAGAUCAGCAUGUGUUAGUGUUAUUUUCGCUUUCAGAAUAUUUUGAUAUCACAUGUUGAUUCAGCCAGCUAGUUGGUUCGCUUGGUCACAUGUAGUCAGGUAUCGAGUGUCGUGUUAUGCUCAGGCCAUGGUUCGGGGCCUGACAGUGUGACCAAUGCAUACUUCGAGAGCUUCAUUGCUAUACAUCUAUUAGGAAUAUAUAACAUCUCGAUCAAUGAAAUUUAGAGUAGAGUAUAGUAUGUUCUACCCUAGAUCAUUUAUCA